GUAAGAGUUGAACUGAUGCCCAGCACACUCCCCGGAGAGCUGAGCCCCCACAAAGUUGGGAGUGGGGCAGGCAGAGGGGUGAUGCCUGCCUGGUGCCAGCCUUGAGGAAACCCUGUGGCUCCUGACAGAAGGGCAGAACCUGAUACCUGGGUUUGACUAAGAGCAAAAAAGAGCAGGAUGUCUGAGAGAUGCCCAGCGUGGGUGGGUGCUCCCUCCCCCCUGCCUCCGCUCCUCCUCCUCCCCGGAACUGCUGCCUCCUCCGCCUGAGCGGCUGAUGCCCUCUGGGUUCUGUUUUCAUUCCAGGCUGUGGAUCCGGUCGUGGGAAGCAGAGAAGACUGCUAGGCCUGAGCUGACUCCCCUGGAAACCCCAGACUCCAGUGACGUGCUUCUGGAACCUGCUCAGACAAAGUUAGAUGCGGAGCUGAGCCACCUUUGGCCACAUAGAUGAAGACACCUUAGAAGAUGGCAGAGACACAAAAUGGAAAAGCCCUGGGUCUCCAUAUGAUGACAUGGUGGACAUCUGCCCUGCCAGUCUGGACCAUUCAUUUCCAGACUAUGAGUGAGAAAUAUGCUUCCAUCUUAUUUAAGCAACUGUAUUUGGGAGGGUUUUUUUGUUUUUUUGUGGUUGUUGUUGUUGUUGUUAUCGGAGCUUAGUUUUUACUCUAACAAAUACAGCUACCCAGCUCA
rnacentral:lncRNA from 1 species